CCUACGGGGGGCAGCAGUGGGGAAUAUUGCACAAUGGGGAAACCCCGAAGGCGGCGAGGCCGCGGAAGGGAGGAAGGUUUUGGGUUGGAAAACUCCAAUAAGCGGGGAGGAAGAAGGGGCAAUUACCUGCUUAGAAAGCCCCGCCAACCACGUGCCAGCAGCCCCGGUAAUACGUAGGGGGCAAGCGUUAUCCGGAAUCACUGGGUGUAAAGGGUGCGUAGGCGGUAGGGCAAGUCAGAUGUGAAAGCCCGGGGCUCAACCCCGGGACUGCAUUUGAAACUGUCUUACUAGAGUGCAGGAGAGGAAAGCGGAAUUCCUAGUGUAGCGGUGAAAUGCGUAGAUAUUAGGAAGAACACCAGUGGCGAAGGCGGCUUUCUGGACUGUAACUGACGCUGAGGCACGAAAGCGUGGGGAGCGAACAGGAUUAGAUACCCGUGUAGUC
rnacentral:rRNA from 1 species